rnacentral:rRNA from 1 species
UGUGAGCUCGAUGAGUAGGGCGGGACACGUGGUAUCCUGUCUGAAUAUGGGGGGACCAUCCUCCAAGGCUAAAUACUCCUGACUGACCGAUAGUGAACCAGUACCGUGAGGGAAAGGCGAAAAGAACCCCGGCGAGGGGAGUGAAAAAGAACCUGAAACCGUGUACGUACAAGCAGUGGGAGCACAGAGCAAUCUGUGUGACUGCGUACCUUUUGUAUAAUGGGUCAGCGACUUAUAUUCUGUAGCAAGGUUAACCGAAUAGGGGAGCCGAAGGGAAACCGAGUCUUAACUGGGCGUUAAGUUGCAGGGUAUAGACCCGAAACCCGGUGAUCUAGCCAUGGGCAGGUUGAAGGUUGGGUAACACUAACUGGAGGACCGAACCGACUAAUGUUGAAAAAUUAGCGGAUGACUUGUGGCUGGGGGUGAAAGGCCAAUCAAACCGGGAGAUAGCUGGUUCUCCCCGAAAGCUAUUUAGGUAGCGCCUCGUGAAUUCAUCUCCGGGGGUAGAGCACUGUUUCGGCAAGGGGGUCAUCCCGACUUACCAACCCGAUGCAAACUGCGAAUACCGGAGAAUGUUAUCACGGGAGACACACGGCGGGUGCUAACGUCCGUCGUGAAGAGGGAAACAACCCAGACCGCCAGCUAAGGUCCCAAAGUCAUGGUUAAGUGGGAAACGAUGUGGGAAGGCCCAGACAGCCAGGAUGUUGGCUUAGAAGCAGCCAUCAUUUAAAGAAAGCGUAAUAGCUCACUGGUCGAGUCGGCCUGCGCGGAAGAUGUAACGGGGCUAAACCAUGCACCGAAGCUGCGGCAGCGACGCUUAUGCGUUGUUGGGUAGGGGAGCGUUCUGUAAGCCUGUGAAGGUGUGCUGUGAGGCAUGCUGGAGGUAUCAGAAGUGCGAAUGCUGACAUAAGUAACGAUAAAGCGGGUGAAAAGCCCGCUCGCCGGAAGACCAAGGGUUCCUGUCCAACGUUAAUCGGGGCAGGGUGAGUCGACCCCUAAGGCGAGGCCGAAAGGCGUAGUCGAUGGGAAACAGGUUAAUAUUCCUGUACUUGGUGUUACUGCGAAGGGGGGACGGAGAAGGCUAUGUUGGCCGGGCGACGGUUGUCCCGGUUUAAGCGUGUAGGCUGGUUUUCCAGGCAAAUCCGGAAAAUCAAGGCUGAGGCGUGAUGACGAGGCACUACGGUGCUGAAGCAACAAAUGCCCUGCUUCCAGGAAAAGCCUCUAAGCAUCAGGUAACAUCAAAUCGUACCCCAAACCGACACAGGUGGUCAGGUAGAGAAUACCAAGGCGCUUGAGAGAACUCGGGUGAAGGAACUAGGCAAAAUGGUGCCGUAACUUCGGGAGAAGGCACGCUGAUAUGUAGGUGAGGUCCCUCGCGGAUGGAGCUGAAAUCAGUCGAAGAUACCAGCUGGCUGCAACUGUUUAUUAAAAACACAGCACUGUGCAAACACGAAAGUGGACGUAUACGGUGUGACGCCUGCCCGGUGCCGGAAGGUUAAUUGAUGGGGUUAGCGGUAACGCGAAGCUCUUGAUCGAAGCCCCGGUAAACGGCGGCCGUAACUAUAACGGUCCUAAGGUAGCGAAAUUCCUUGUCGGGUAAGUUCCGACCUGCACGAAUGGCGUAAUGAUGGCCAGGCUGUCUCCACCCGAGACUCAGUGAAAUUGAACUCGCUGUGAAGAUGCAGUGUACCCGCGGCAAGACGGAAAGACCCCGUGAACCUUUACUAUAGCUUGACACUGAACAUUGAGCCUUGAUGUGUAGGAUAGGUGGGAGGCUUUGAAGUGUGGACGCCAGUCUGCAUGGAGCCGGCCUUGAAAUACCACCCUUUAAUGUUUGAUGUUCUAACGUUGGCCCCUGAUCGGGGUUGCGGACAGUGUCUGGUGGGUAGUUUGACUGGGGCGGUCUCCUCCUAAAGAGUAACGGAGGAGCACGAAGGUUGGCUAAUCCUGGUCGGACAUCAGGAGGUUAGUGCAAUGGCAUAAGCCAGCUUGACUGCGAGCGUGACGGCGCGAGCAGGUGCGAAAGCAGGUCAUAGUGAUCCGGUGGUUCUGAAUGGAAGGGCCAUCGCUCAACGGAUAAAAGGUACUCCGGGGAUAACAGGCUGAUACCGCCCAAGAGUUCAUAUCGACGGCGGUGUUUGGCACCUCGAUGUCGGCUCAUCACAUCCUGGGGCUGAAGUAGGUCCCAAGGGUAUGGCUGUUCGCCAUUUAAAGUGGUACGCGAGCUGGGUUUAGAACGUCGUGAGACAGUUCGGUCCCUAUCUGCCGUGGGCGCUGGAGAACUGAGGGGGGCUGCUCCUAGUACGAGAGGACCGGAGUGGACGCAUCACUGGUGUUCGGGUUGUCAUGCCAAUGGCACUGCCCGGUAGCUAAAUGCGGAAGAGAUAAGUGCUGAAAGCAUCUAAGCACGAAACUUGCCCCGAGAUGAGUUCUCCCUGACUCCUUGAGAGUCCUGAAGGAACGUUGAAGACGACGACGUUGAUAGGCCGGGUGUGUAAGCGCAGCGAUGCGUUGAGCUAACCGGUACUAAUGAACCGUGAGGCUUAACCUUACAACGCCGAAG